rnacentral:rRNA from 1 species
GAUGAACGCUGGCGGCGUGCCUAAUACAUGCAAGUCGAGCGAACAGACGAGGAGCUUGCUCCUCUGACGUUAGCGGCGGACGGGUGAGUAACACGUGGAUAACCUACCUAUAAGACUGGGAUAACUUCGGGAAACCGGAGCUAAUACCGGAUAAUAUAUUGAACCGCAUGGUUCAAUAGUGAAAGACGGUUUUGCUGUCACUUAUAGAUGGAUCCGUGCCGCAUUAGCUAGUUGGUAAGGUAACGGCUUACCAAGGCAACGAUGCGUAGCCGACCUGGGAGGGUGAUCGGCCACACUGGAACUGGGACACGGUCCAGACUCCUACGGGAGGCAGCAGUAGGGAAUCUUCCGCAAUGGGCGAAAGCCUUACGGAGCAACGCCGCGUGAGUGAUGAAGGUCUUCGGAUCGGAAAACUCUGUUAUUAGGGAAGAACAAAUGUGUAAGUAACUAUGCACGUCUUGACGGUACCUAAUCAGAAAGCCACGGCUAACUACGUG